CCUACGGGAGGCAGCAGUAGGGAAUCUUCCACAAUGGACGAAAGUCUGAUGGAGCAACGCCGCGUGAGUGAAGAAGGUUUUCGGAUCGUAAAACUCUGUUGUAAGGGAAGAACACGUACGAGAGUAACUGCCCGUACCUUGACGGUACCUUAUUAGAAAGCCACGGCUAACUACGUGCCAGCAGCCGCGGU
rnacentral:rRNA from 1 species